ACGCUCGACACCUACGGGGGGCAGCAGUUGGGAAUAUUGGACAAUGGAGGAAACUCUGAUCCAGUGACGCCGCGUGAAGGAAGAAGGUCUUCGGAUUGUAAACUUAUUUUGUCAGGGAAGAAAAAAUGACUGUACCUGAAGAAAAAGCACCGGCUAACUACGCGCCAGCAGCCGCGGUAAUCUGAGCGGGCUGGCAAGGC
rnacentral:rRNA from 1 species